rnacentral:lncRNA from 1 species
CUGCUGUGGGUGCCCUGCCCUGGCCAUGCAUGUGAACUUGGCCUCUUGCCUGGUCCCCACCCCUCCAUCGGCUGCAGUCUUUCCUGGGCCCAGGGCUCCCUUAUUUCAGUAGCUGCUGCCCCUUCCUGGUCAGAGUUGCUCAGUUUUUUAUCUCUGAUGUCUGCAGCUACUCUCUGGGCCCUGACCACCUUCCAUGUUCUUUCCCAACUCUGGCAGAUGCUUCAGUUGCCCACCAGGAGCCAAUUCAUGUUCCCUUGCAGGGAAAUGGACAAGGGACCUGCUGCUGGCUUAUACGAGGAAAGGCCGUCUCACCUGGGGGCUUUGGGGAAAAGUUUGCUUUCAGAUGGAGAAAGAGAUGGAGCCUCUCAAGGAGAAAGCAUUUCCCUCUGGUGCUUCCCUUCUUUGUGCCUGCAGCUUCAAGGACCACAGAGGGCCAAGUGCAGGAGUAAGAGGCUGGCGUGCUGACAGUGGCCAAGGGCAUUGGAGGGAAGGACCUGUCAUCACUGGGCCAAGGAAGGAACUCCAGACUGCCUACUUCCAGAGGGCCUGCUGAGGAAUUUUAGCUUGAACUUGCCUGCCUUGACUAGGGCUUUCUGAGCAGCAGAUGAUUCUGCAAUGGUGUUAGUCCAGGCCUGGUUCUGCAUGACAUUGACCAUACUGUGCACCCUGGGGUCAUUAUGUCUUGGGCUUCAAGGGGCUCCAUGGGCUCCAGGGGGCUCCAUGUGACACUGCACAGAGCUCUCUCUAGGUCACCUGGAUGUGUCUCUUCCUAGGAACCCCAAAGAGCUCUCUCAACAAACACACCCACGAGUUCCAGGAGUGAGGCUGCAGGGAACAGCCUCACUCUCAGAGGGGAUACAGAAUUGUUCCACUGGACAAGGGCUGGGAUCGUCAUAGGAUGCCGUUGGCCUGUGGUUUCCAACAGAGGUGCAGUUCAUUGAACUGUGGUCUACAGUCCAUUCUCUAACUUGGGGACCCUUGAAGAAGUGUGGAAUCAUGACAACAACCCUGUUGGGAGACACUAUUAUUCCCAUCACAUGGAUGAGCACACGGAGGCAAAAGGAAGUUAUAUGAUUGUCUGAGAUCACCCAGUGAAGACUGUGUGGCUGGGAGUUGUCCCCAGUGUUAUCUGCACGCUGCUUCCUUUUGAUGCCUGGCCCUUCUUUAUCAAAAGAAGCAUUGGCAGAAUCUGGGUGUUUAUGGGUCAGCUCAAAAUAAAUUACUUUAUAUGUCAUUCAUAUUGUUCUUCAUUUCCUGGACAGUAGAAGUCCCCUCCACACCCACUUUCUGUUGUUAGAAGGGGCUUGUCUCAUUGUGAAGAGGUCUUUUCCUCCCGGCUUCCUGGGCUGAUGUAAAUACCCAGAAGAGAACUCCUCCCUUGUCUGGCAG